AAACGGCGCUUUCCAAACAGAUAAGUGUAGGGUUUCUGUGUGGGUCCAUUAUCUCAGACGACAAAAUAAAGGAAAAAGAGGCCUAUCCCUUCGAGCGACGCAAGAGCUGUCAAGGGCAGAGCUAUGGCGAUGCCGGAGGCGGGAGGCGGACGGAUUCGAGUUUCUAGCAGAUCCAAUCGACAGAUUUCCAUUGCCGGAUCUCGCCGCGGCCUAAUACUUGCUGCGCGACGAAGUAAAUCAAUCUCUGCUGUGCGCGGUCGCUCAAUCUAGCAAUAGUGGUGCCGGCGAGACGGCGGUAGCAGUACAAGAAGAAUUUGACCACAGUUCCAAAAGGGUUGCCCUGUCGAAUCCAAAGCAUUCGACAGACAAAGACGAUGGACAAGCACCUGACUCGUCGAGCAGGUUUCAGUUGCCAGAGGCCACCAUCUGUCAACGGUUAGUGAACGGCGAAGCAAGCCAAGCUUUGGUAUGCAACAGCCGCUGAAUCCAGCAUUGGUAAUGUGGGUGAUCCACCGCCCCACAAUACAAGUAGACAUCAACAGCACUUGCAAUGGAAUGGCCCUGUCCCUUCCGACCCGAGAACAAUCGACAGGCAAAGACGAUCCUCAAGCACCUGGCUGGACCAAAAGGUAUAACAAUUGUGGAUGUGUGUUUCUGUUUCAAGGAUAUGACAAUUUUGAGUUGGCUGUAUAUUUAUAUUCCUCCAAAUUUCACUGAGAAGUACUGAUUUUCCUGUAAAGUACAAGGCUGCUGCUAGACGUCGAUACGUUGUGUUUUGUGAUUACACACUAUUAGAAACUGUUUCUAGAAUAACAUGUAGCUGUGUGGUGCGGGGUACGUGUAGGGCACGCACCUAUUUAUAUUCCUCCAAAAGUUGUUCUGCAUAUGGUCGAGAAAAUAGCUGUGGAGACAAAUUUUCCUUAUAGUUUGUUUAUUUCCACAUUCUGUUGUUGAGGGCUUGGCAGCCAAAAAAUAGAAAUUUGUGUAAUAAAACCUGUUGAAGCUACACUGCUGUCUGUUGUACUUGUUAACUUGCCAGCAAUGAGCAGAACCAGCAGCAUCAGUUUUUAGGAUCUCAAGAUCAUAUCGCUGGGAGCAGUGAACCAGAGGAUACGGCUACCAUGGAGCGGACAUCUGUGAUUCAGGCUUCACUUCACGGAAGAGCUGACAGUACAUCAAUGGCUGGUGAAGGAUUCGACGACGAACCUGAAGUGCAAUCCCGUCUUACAGCCGUGGAAGAGGUCGGCACCUAUGAUCCAGAGAAUCGAAUCUGCACCGGCGGUGACAACAGGUCGGAUUCAAGCAGCUACCGCGAGUCAACGACCAGGGGAGCUGAAUAGAUCUGGUGGCCCGACCAAACCCUUUCACAAACAGAACACCACUUCGUACGCCGUCUGGGACAGUGGUACGUAUUGGUACAUGUCGAAAGCCGUCAUCAACGCGCUGCCGUCGGCCGGCACGUCCCGAAGAACGGCGUCUCAAUCCAUCACGUAUACACAUUAAAUGCGCUCACGUCCUCGUCCAGGCAUACGUCUUGCGUCGUGCAUCCCGAAACGAACGAACGCAUGGUGAUUCCGGGAGCGCGCGUGCUCGUCCGCGCCAACAAAUUUCCGCACAGUCUGAUUCCUUAGUAAUACUAUUAUGUUUGAAUGGUUUAGUAUCAGUAAAAGCGAAUGAGUGCUCAAAGAAAUUUAGGACUAUCAACACCUGUUCUCUGAACAGUCUGAUUCCUUAGUAAUACUAGCAUGUCAGGACAGUUGUUCUCUGAAGAUACCUGAAAGAAUCAACACCUUCUCUGAAGAAUUAUUCCUGUGAUGUGGCCAAAUGUGGCAGUGCAUACAUGCUUGAGUAGAUCCAUGAAACCAUAUACUUGUAGGACUUGUUUCCCUGUCAUUCAGUGUGCAGUCUGAUUCGUUAAUCUUUGGUUCGUAUGUGACGCUUUAGUUUCGCCACAAGUGUUCGACUGAUUCACUUUCAGUUUAACCAAACGAGUACUUAGAGUUUAGUUCUAGUAAUAAGCUAUGGCCAAUAUCUAUAACAGAUUCAGUGCUGCAUAUGCUUGUGGCUCUUUUCUUUUAUAUCUAGACUGUGGAUGCUUUGGUUUUUCCUUGUAUGCUUGAACGGUUUAAUUUCAGUUACGACUAAUGAGCGCUCAAAUUUCUUUCGUACUAUGUGUCAUUACACUGGUUCUCUGAACUUCCUGUCUAAAUAAAUUUAUAAAAUGCCCAACAUGCUAAUUCAAAUACACUUUGAGGCAAAAAAACGUCAUCAUUCGUUAAACUUUGGUUCAAACCAAAUGAGUACUCAGUGUUUCGUCGCUACUGUUUCAGUCUAAGCUAAUUACAUGUGACCAUGAUUGUAAAUUCUAAUAACAUGCUUUGGCACAAAUUUCUUUUGGACUAUAGUUCUCUGAACUUCCUGUCUCUGAACAUACCUGAAAAAACGACACCUUCUCUGAAGAAUUUGACAGCUACGAGUAUCAAGACGCGAACUGGUACGCUGCCACGGAAACGGACGGCUAGGAUGCGCUCCAGUUAUGAUAGAUCAACGCCUCUCGAAGACCAAAGGAUCCACUGUUCAUUGUCCGACAAAAGCUACAGUUAGUUAACUGCAGUUUAACUGCUG